UAAUCUCACUACAACCGCUUUUUUGUGGUUGCAUGUGGACUUGGAUGUUGCCGUGUCACAAACGGCUCGUCUGAAAUGCCUGAGUGUACCCCUGCUUUGCAGCGUAUUUGGUGUGAUAAAUCUUCACCGGAGUUGACCCUCAGGGUCACGUCUGCUUGACAUGGCUCUAUGCUGCCAACUGUCCUGACAAGGACAAUCUUUGACA
rnacentral:misc_RNA from 1 species